rnacentral:rRNA from 1 species
UACGUAGGGGGCAAGCGUUGUUCAGAAUCAUUGGGCGUAAAGAGCGCGUAGGCGGCUUGGCAAGUCCGCUGUGAAAGUCCAGGGCUCAACCCUGGAAUGCCGGUGGAAACUGUCGAGCUCGAGUCCGGAAGAGGCGAGUGGAAUUCCUGGUGUAGCGGUGAAAUGCGCAGAUAUCAGGAGGAACACCAAUGGCGAAGGCGGCUCGCUGGGACGGUACUGACGCUGAGACGCGAAAGCGUGGGGAGCAAACGGG